rnacentral:rRNA from 1 species
AGUAAUGCUUGGGAAUCUAGCUUAUGGAGGGGGAUAACUACGGGAAACUGUAGCUAAUACCGCGUAGAAUCGGGAGAUGAAGGUGUGGGACCUUCGGGCCACAUGCCAUAGGAUGAGCCCAAGUGGGAUUAGGUAGUUGGUGAGGUAAAGGCUCACCAAGCCGACGAUCUCUAGCUGGUCUGAGAGGAUGACCAGCCACACUGGGACUGAGACACGGCCCAG